UAAUUUUUCAGGUCCUUGUUGGAACUGGAUCUAGGACUAUGACGAUAAUCAGAAUCAAAUCUCUGAAACUCUAUGCAUUUGGUUUUUGUGAGUUUUUUGCUUCACUUCAUACACUUGGCAUAUUAAAUUUACUUUCGAAACGAUCUUCAGAUACUUAACUCAUUUUACAUUGUUCAUAGAUGUUCAUCCUUCUGAUGUCUGUGAGAAAUUGGGCCCGAAGUAUGCCU
rnacentral:sRNA from 1 species